rnacentral:rRNA from 1 species
GGGUAACACUUAGAAAUAGGUGCUAAUACCGCAUAAGCGCACAGCUUCGCAUGAAGCGGUGUGAAAAACUCUGGUGGUAUACGAUGGUUCCGCGUCUGAUUAGCUAGUUGGUGGGGUAAUGGCCUACCAAGGCAACGAUCAGUAGCCGGCCUGAGAGGGUGAACGGCCACAUUGGGACUGAGACACGGCCCAAACUCCUACGGAAGGCAGCAG